rnacentral:lncRNA from 1 species
UUUGAAUAUAAUUUUUUUUAUUAAACACUGUUUUUCUGAAGUUAUUUUUAUUGAAUAAAAAAUUAAUUUUUUUAAAUAUUAAGCAAUUGUCGUGAUUUUAUUUUUGAGUCGACUGAAUGAUAAAAAGAAAUACAAUAUCAUUCACCCACAAAAAAUAGAACAUUUUCUAAACUGUAUGGGUCUUGAAUAUAUUUAAAAGAUUUCACAUGUAUCAUUUUUUUUUCUAAUCCAUAAGUGUUUAAAGAAAGUAUAUAUUAAGCUAUAUUUUCAAAAAAUAAAAUCGAGAUUCUUCUUUUGUUAUUAUGAAAUAAAAUGUUUAAAAUUUCCUUUUUUUUUUCUUUCUUUCCUCAUGCUUUAGAGGAUUAUUUUCAGGAACUAUUCUCUCUCUAAAAAAGGGAAAUUAAAAUUCAAUUGCUUUUUGAUUGACUUUGGUAUUAUGCCAAAAGUGGAACCCACCAAAAAGUAGCAACAACUUAAGAAAGAAUAAAAUAUUUGGGAAGGGUCAA